ACUGCUUGACUGCUCGACACCGACCUUUGUAGCGUGGGGAAAAUAGAUGCAGAAACGGGCUAUUUCCCAUUCAAUACAAGAAUUUGCGGCUCCAAUCACGUAUGAACAUUACCACGAGGCGCAACUAUUUCAAGGAUCAAGAUUGGGGGCGGUCUCACUUCUUUCUGCUCAAGUUAUUUGGGGCUCACAACAGAAAACACCACGGAAUAGAUAAACCAAAGGACUCAAACAUUCGCAGGUACGCAAUCUCCGGCCUUCGCAGAUUGACUCGAUCGGGUCGAGAGGUUUGUGUGAUGAAUAAACUUUCGUGUCAGAUCUAGUUAUGUAGACGGUCACUCUUUUAUAAUUCCAGUUACUUUAAAACGUGUAAACACCACAGCAUGAUACACUAAAAGGUUAUACUAUUUCCAUGUAUGUUAAAAUCGUCUUCUUGUCUUGUUUUUUUUUUUACAUUUCUUGCCAACAGAGUGAUUUGAUCUAGUUAUGUAGACGGUCACUCUUUUAUAAUUCCAGUUACUUUAAAACGUGUAAACACCACAGCAUGAUACACUAAAAGGUUAAACUAUUUC